AUGUGAAUUGCANAAUUCAGUGAAUCAUCGAAUCUUUGAACGCACCUUGCGCCCCUUGGUAUUCCGAGGGGCAUGCCUGUUUGAGUGUCA
rnacentral:rRNA from 1 species